GGAUUCCUUGCUUAUGAAGUAGCCUUAAAAAAGCUCCAUCAUUGUACCUCUUUUCCCUCAGUGAUCUUUCUUUUUCCUUCAUCUCUUACUGCUAUUAUUGUUCCCUACAAUUCCUUUCCUCUUUAUACUUUAUUUUCUGACUUUCUUCCUUUUUCAGGCACCAAGACUUCCUUUGCCUGGAUUGAUUUUAUACCAUCAAGUCAUAUUGGCAACAUGAUUUCUUUGUUCUCCCCCUUAGAUUUUUG
rnacentral:misc_RNA from 1 species